rnacentral:lncRNA from 1 species
CCAUUAACACAACAUGUUUCAUGGCAUGUUUUGCCCAUCAUCCCUUGUCAUGGCCGGCCACUAGUACUUAAAUGGGGGGAAAUUGACAUGCAAGUCCACCCCUUUGAUUACAUGCACUAUUAGGCCACUUGCAUUUGCCUAGCACAUUUCUAAAUUUUCUCACAUAAGUCAUAUCAACUAAAUUCACAUGCAAUUAACUAAAUCGAAGCUUAAAACUUUCACACAUUUAUAUUCACAUAUUUUAGGCAAUAAUUAUCACAUUCAAAUAA